rnacentral:piRNA from 1 species
UUCAUAAUGUUUGAAAAUAUC